rnacentral:rRNA from 1 species
GUGCCAGCCGCCGCGGUAAGACGAACCGAGCGAACGUUGUUCGGAAUCACUGGGCUUAAAGGGUGCGUAGGCGGGCUGCCAAGUUUGGGGUGAAAUCCUCCGGCUCAACCGGGGAAGUGCCUCGAAUACUGGCGGUCUGGAGGGAGGUAGGGGCGUGCGGAACUAACGGUGGAGCGGUGAAAUGCGUUGAUAUCGUUAGGAACUCCGGUGGCGAAGGCGGCACGCUAGACCUCUUCUGACGCUGAGGCACGAAAGCCAGGGGAGCGAACGGGAUUAGAAACCCCGGUAGUCC